rnacentral:rRNA from 1 species
CCUACGGGAGGCAGCAGUCGGGAAUAUUGGACAAUGGGGGGAACCCUGAUCCAGCCAUGCCGCGUGUGUGAAGAAGGCCUUUUGGUUGUAAAGCACUUUAAGCGGGGAGGAGGCUACUUAGAUUAAUACUCUAGGAUAGUGGACGUUACCCGCAGAAUAAGCACCGGCUAACUCUGUGCCAGCAGCCGCGGUAAU